rnacentral:rRNA from 1 species
UGGGGAAUAUUGGGCAAUGGGCGAAAGCCUGACCCAGCAACGCCGCGUGGAGGAAGAAGGUUUUCGGAUCGUAAACUCCUGUCCUAAGAGACGAGGGAGAGACGGUAUCUUAGGAGGAAGCCCCGGCUAACUACGUGCCAGCAGCCGCGGUAAUACGUAGGGGGCAAGCGUUGUCCGGAAUGAUUGGGCGUAAAGGGCGCGUAGGCGGCUCGGUAAGUCUGGAGUGAAAGUCCUGGCUUUAAGUUGGGAAUUGCUUUGGAUACUGUCGGGCUUGAGUGCAGGAGAGGUUAGUGGAAUUCCCAGUGUAGCGGUGAAAUGCGUAGAGAUUGGGAGGAACACCAGUGGCGAAGGCGACUAACUGGACUGUAACUGACGCUGAGGCGCGAAAGUGUGGGGAGCAAACAGGAUUAGAUACC